rnacentral:rRNA from 1 species
GUGGAUUAGAUACCCUAGUAGUCCACGCCGUAAACGUUGGGCGCUAGGUGUGGGGGCCAUUCCACGGUCUCCGUGCCGCAGCUAACGCAUUAAGCGCCCCGCCUGGGGAGUACGGCCGCAAGGCUAAAACUCAAAGGAAUUGACGGGGGCCCGCACAAGCGGCGGAGCAUGUUGCUUAAUUCGAUGCAACGCGAAGAACCUUACCUAGGCUUGACAUGUGCGGAAAUCCUCCAGAGAUGGUGGGUCCGUAAGGGUCGCACACAGGUGGUGCAUGGUUGUCGACAGCG